AACGAACGCUGGCGGCGUGCCUAACACAUGCAAGUCGAGCGCGAAUGGAGCAAUCCUAGUAGAGCGGCGCACGGGUGCGUAACACGUGGGUAAUCUGCCUGGAAGACCGGAACAACCUGCCGAAAGGCUGGCUAAUGCCGGAUAAGCCUACGGGGUCUUCGGACUCUGCAGGAAAAGGUGGCCUCUGUAUACAAGCUAUCACUUCUAGAUGAGCCCGCGGCCCANCAGCUAGUUGGCGGGGUAACGGCCCACCAAGGCAACGACGGGUAGCUGGUCUGAGAGGACGAUCAGCCACACUGGAACUGAGACACGGUCCAGACUCCUACGGGAGGCAGCAGUGGGGAAUUUUGCACAAUGGGCGAAAGCCUGAUGCAGCAACGCCGCGUGUGUGAUGAAGGUCUUCGGAUCGUAAAGCACUUUCGACCGGGAAGAACACCUCUUGGCUAACAUCCAAGAGCCU
rnacentral:rRNA from 1 species